rnacentral:tRNA from 1 species
GGUCCUGUAGCUCAGUGGUUAGAGCGAUGGUCUUAUGAGCCAUAGGUCGUGGAUUCGAACCCCGCCGGGACUA